GUGCCAGCCGCCGCGGUAAUACAGAGGUCCCAAGCGUUGUUCGGAUUCACUGGGCGUAAAGGGUGCGUAGGUGGCCGGGAAAGUUCGAUGUGAAAGCUCGGAGCUUAACUCCGAAAUGGCAUUGAAUACUAUUCGGCUUGAGGGUCGGAGGGGAGACUGGAAUUCUCGGUGUAGCAGUGAAAUGCGUAGAUAUCGAGAGGAACACCAGUGGCGAAGGCGAGUCUCUGGACGACACCUGACACUGAGGCACGAAAGCUAGGGGAGCAAACAGGAUUAGAUACCCUGGUAGUCC
rnacentral:rRNA from 1 species